GAAGCCUGGCAGCCUUAUAAACUUAAUAGUCGGCGCUAAAAUUUAGAGAACCUGGCCCUUUAAAUAGCCGAGAUGAAGAGAUAUCACUCUGUAUUUGAGAGUAAACAUCACUUUUAUAAAGCCAGAAGUGCCCAAUUUUAGGUAAUACGUAAUGAUAAGCAGACAUGACUGCUAUAUAUAUAUAUAACUAUAAUGACACCAUAUUAACAACUAUAUAUACUAACUUUGGAUUAAAGAGGGAAAAAAUGGGGGGAAAAGUUAAAAGUCAUUACAGCAGUGGAGAAAUUGGGGCUUACUCUAAAGAUGCAUGCUGUGGACCAAAGUAUUAAUGUGCUGCACAGCAGAUCUACACAUCUAAGGUGCUCACAUAACCUGUAUAUAAAUGAUGGAUGUAGCCACAGUUGCAUCACCAGUAGGUUAAGGAAGUGCCAGUUUUGGUGCCAGUGCCAAGUGCUUGUAUUUUUUUUUUUUAAAUCAUGGUCUGUAAGUUUGUUGUUGUGAACGUACUUCAGGUUUAUCCUGUAGUUUAUUAUUUCCUGUUAGGAUUCCAAUGCUUAGUUAUAGUUUGUUUUUAGCAUGUGUCCUCUUUGUCUCCCUUAGUGUUGAGCUUCUGUGUGCAUGUACGUAUGGCCUCUCAUUACUUAGUCUUACUUACUUACUUGUCUCUAGCGUCUUGUGUUUAGUUUUACUUCCCUUAUCAUCUCAUUAUAUUGGAUUAUUAUCACUUGUAUCGUGUUACUCUGCUGUGUCCGCUUCUCCAAAUUACCUUCAUGUGUACAAACAGUCCUAUUUUCAAUGUUCAUCCUCCUGAUGUGUUUCUCAGCAUUACUCUUGCAUGUAUCUUCUUUUUUUCAUGAACAUUGAUUUUUGGACUGGCUUCUCAUCCACCAAUAAAGGUGUGCUUUUUGUUCACUCUGCCUGCAGAGUCUGCAUUUGGGUCCUAGUUACACACUUUGUGAGUGUUUUCACUGUUAUACGGGAACUCUGUGUGCUCAUUGGCUGAUAUCUUGUGAUGAAACAUUAGUCAAUGAGCAUACCCUGUUUUUUCUUACCCUGUUGUUGUUGUUUUUUGUCACAAACAACUACAAAUUACAAGUUAAUUUCAUGUUGUAGUUGGUGUAAGCUGCAGCUUGUGACUGAGUCAUUAGUAAAUAUGGAAACAGGUCUCUGUCACUGAGAAAAAAAUUUUGUCCAUCCAUAAGUCAAUAAGAGGGGGUUGGGCUAUCUCAAAAUGUAAUAAUUUUUUUAAAGAACUUGAAAUUUUC
ensembl:lncRNA